UAGGAAAAUAGCAAAGGGUAUUUUAACAUUUUGUUAAAGAUGGAAGACAGAGGGCAAAGCAUUUAGCAACUUUUCCACAUCUGCAGUAAGGCAGGUGUGGGACUAGGGUUAAUAUCCCAGCUAUUGAUUCCUGAUACAGGCACAGAACCACCUGUUUUUCUCAGCAAGAGGGUAAGUCAUGUUUACAGGAAUCCUCUCUAGCAUAUAAGAUCCUGCAAACAUAGAAGCAAGAUAAAGGUAGAAGUGUUUAUGUCCUGGCUUCAAGGUGACUGAGUACCUAAGACAAGUUGACUUUAAGGAGAUCAAGAGUGGAGAUGAGAAGAGUAAAAGCGGGGAAACAACGUCUUCAAAUUGAUAGGCAGUGCUGUCAGUGACAUCCCUCAGUUCCGAUUAAACCAAUUGGAAGUCACCAGUUUCUAACGCAUCGUGUGUUUGGGUUUCUUCUCCCCAGUCCCUGGCUUUCUGUGGUCUGCCCGAAACAUCAACAAGGUGGCAUCUGGCAGGCCUCCUUCCAGAAGAAACACUGAGUUGAACAUUCCGGAACGCAUUGAGAAAUCCUGGUCCCAGCAGGAAGAUAAACCGAAUAUCGGAGGCAGCAAAAAUAGACUUCUUAUGAGUCAGGUGGACUACUCCCUCAACUAUCGGCCGAAGACAUGCAAAGAUCGACAAGAUCGUGAAAUACAGAAAUACAGAGAAAGCAAAAAUAACGUUCUUAUGAGGCAAGCGGCCUACUACCUGCGCUGCCGGCUAAAGACCAAAGAAGAUCGGAGACGUCACGAGGAAGAACAGAAAUACAGAGACAGCAAAAAUAAACUUCUUAUGAGUCAAGACUACCCGGGCUGCAGGUUGAAGACGGAAAGUAUGUUUCAUAGGUUCACCGUCACCAAAGUGCUGAACAAUGUUCUGUGUUUCUUGUGAGAAACAAAAGGCUGUCUUCAUCACAAUUAAUUUCAUUUUUACCAUACAUCUAGGAAAAUAUAAAUGGGUAUUUUAACAUUUUGUUAAAGGUGGACGAGAGAGGCCAAAGUUAUGUAGCAACUUUUGCACAUCUGCAGUAAGGCGGGUGUGGGACUGAGGGUAGUCUCAGCUGUUGAUUUCUGACACAGGCACAGAACCACCUGUUUUUCUCAGGAAGAGGCUAAAUCGUGUUCACAGGAAUCCUCUCUGUACCACCUAAGGUCCCGCAGACAAGUAGCAUCUAGUCUGUUGUUCUAAAUGUCUGAGGCUGCUGAACUUCAUUUGGUUCCGGUUUCUGCUGAGGCUCAGUAGGGAAAGCUCUGUUCUGGGGAACAUGAGAUGGUAGCACACUAUUCUUCCUACAGGGAGCUUAAAGAGGACUCUGCUUCUUACAUACCCUGUGGUAUCUGUAAGUGGCAUCAUCAAGAGCAAAGAUUACUCUGGUCAGAGGGAUGUCCUGCUUUUUUUGCAGAGGCUCUCGUUGGUAAAGAGGAAGAACGACGGCACCCAUGACUUUUUGAAGGCAGCAGUACAUAGAGGAGGGACCCUGGGCCAGUCUCCUGAGCUCCAUCCAAGUUGCUUCUUUUGUUUGUUACUCAGUUUUGUCACCUGUUCGUAGGAUACUAUAAUAAUGCCUACCUCUGUCAAUUGCUGCACUGAAUUAGAUGGCCUAUUUAUUGUAACUCUCCCGGGACAGUUGUUGGCACAGAGUAAACUGUCUAUUAGUGUCUUUUUUUUUGAAAUGGAGUUUCGCUGUUGUUUCCCAGACUGGAGUGCAAUGGCAUGAUCUCGGCUCACCGCAACCUCCGCCUUCUUCAAGAGCAGGGAGUACCC
rnacentral:lncRNA from 1 species